rnacentral:rRNA from 1 species
AUGCUGGCACACGAGGUUUUCUCUCGGCUCCUUCUCACUGAGCAACGGGUCGAGACUCGCCGCACCAGGGGCACUGGCUCCCUCUCGGCCAACGCCGCCACCAAGGGUGGCCGCUCUUCUUCAUCACCCCGGUCUCCCUUGGGGCUGCCACCGUCGCCCGCCUCGGCCCCCCCACCUACUGCGACCUUACCGGGGGCUGGCGGUCCACGUGUGUGUCAGCUUUGUGGCCGCGAUGGGCACUGGGCCUCCAAGUGUCAUAAGCGCUUCCAGCGAAGCUUCCUUGGUCUUGGCAAUGACGGCAAAGAUACACGCAACAAUGCCCGUCAGGUCGCCAUGGCUGAUCGUCCCGCGCCGCAGAAGCAACAGGGACACACUCAGUCCUACUCCAUCGAUCCACACUGGUACAUGGACUCUGGGGCGACAGAGCAUCUAACCAGCGAGAUGGGGAAGCUUCACACUCGUGAACCCUAUCAUGGCUCCGACAAGAUCCACACCGCCAAUGGAGCAAGUAUGCACAUCUCUCAUAUUGGUCAAGCAUCUCUUCUCACUAGACAUGCCAAUAGGAGUCUUCAGCUUCGCAAUGUUCUUCGAGUUCCAUCUGUGACCCGUAAUCUUCUUUCAAUUCCUAAACUCACACGUGAUAAUAAUGUGCUUUGUGAAUUUCACCCUUUUGAUCUUUUUAUUAAGGAUCGGGGCACGAGGGACAUUCUUCUUAGUGGGCGGUUGUGCCAGGGCCUCUACCGUCUGGAGCAUCCUGGUGUCGCUCGUGUUUUCAGUGGAGUUCGGGUCUCUCCGUCACAGUGGCAUGCUCGUCUUGGUCACCCGGCCACACCUAUUGUCCGUCAUAUUUUGCGUCGUCAUGAGCUUCCUAGUUUGUCUAGUCAUAAAGAUGUAGCAGUGUGUGAUGCUUGUCAGCAGGGGAAGAGUCAUCAACUUCCUUUUUCGGAGUCCAGUCGUGAGGUGAAACAUCCUUUAGAACUUGUGUUUUCAGAUGUAUGGGGUCCUGCUCAGACUUCUGUCAGUGGUCAUAAUUACUAUAUCAGUUUCGUUGAUGCUUAUAGUCGCUUUACCUGGCUUUAG